rnacentral:rRNA from 1 species
UCCUACGGGAGGCAGCAGUAAGGAAUAUUGGUCAAUGGAGGCAACUCUGAACCAGCCAUGCCGCGUGAAGGAUUAAGGCCCUCUGGGUUGUAAACUUCUUUUAUAUGGGAAGAAACUCACGCAUUCCUGCGUGAUUGACGGUACCAUAGGAAUAAGCACCGGCUAACUCCGUGCCAGCAGCCGCGGUAAU